GACGAACCACACGAACGUUAUUCGGAAUUACUGGGCUUAAAGGGUGCGUAGGCUGUGCGGAAAGUUAGGUGUGAAAUCCCCCGGCUCAACCGGGGAAUUGCGCUUAAAACUACCGUGCUGGAGGAAGAUAGAGGUGAGCGGAACUUCGGGUGGAGCGGUGAAAUGCGUUGAUAUCCGAAGGAACACCGGUGGCGAAAGCGGCUCACUGGAUCUUUUCUGACGCUGAUGCACGAAAGCUAGGGGAGCAAACGGG
rnacentral:rRNA from 1 species